UACGUAGGGGGCAAGCGUUGUCCGGAUUUAUUGGGCGUAAAGCGCGUGUAGGCGGUUCGGUAAGUCCGCUGUGAAAGUCGGGGGGCUCAACCCUCGGAUGCCGGUGGAUACUGUCGGGCUUGAGUACGGAAGAGGCGAGUGGAAUUCCUGGUGUAGCGGUGAAAUGCGCAGAUAUCAGGAGGAACACCGAUGGCGAAGGCAGAUCUCUGGGCCGUAACUGACGCUGAGGAGCGAAAGCAUGGGGAGCGAACAGG
rnacentral:rRNA from 1 species